GAAUUGUGGCUGUGACAUCUGUCACCCCAUUGAUCCCCAGGCUGAUUUGGCUGAUCUGGCUGGCUAGGCAGGUGUCCCCUUCCUUCCUCAAGGAUCCAUGUGCGUCCCUCCCCAAGCUGCACGCUCGGUCGAAGAGGACGACCACUCCCGAUAGAGGAGGACAGUUCCUCGGUCAGGGGUAUACAAGUAGCUGCACUCCCCUGCUAGAACCUCCAACAAACUCUUAGAAUUUCUUAUAUUAAAACUGAACCUCUGAGGUGAUGGUAUUUUAAGAGAUACGAUCAUUAGGAUUUGACUGUAUUCU
rnacentral:snRNA from 1 species